UACAGAGGUCCCAAGCGUUGUUCGGAUUCACUGGGCGUAAAGGGUGCGUAGGUGGCAGGGUAAGUUUGAUGUGAAAUCUCCGAGCUUAACUCGGAAACUGCAUUGAAUACUAUCCUGCUCGAGGUUUGGAAGGGGGACUGGAAUUCGUCGGUGUAGCAGUGAAAUGCGUAGAUAUCGAGAGGAACACCAGUGGCGAAGGCGAGUCCCUGGACAACACCUGACACUGAGGCACGAAAGCUAGGGGAGCAAACAGG
rnacentral:rRNA from 1 species